GCUCGGGAGGGGCUGCAGGGAACGGGCUUGAGACAAGGCCGGAGCGGAAUCCCGGAGAGGAUGAAAUCUGUCUUCAGAUAACAGUUUACAGUCAAGCACCACACUGAGGCUAAAAGAGUUAAAUGAAUUGAAAGCAGAAGGAAACUGUUUGAGAUGAGAGAAGCAGAAUUGGUUUGAAGUGGAAAGUGCACUACAUCUUGUUUUGGCAUGUAAGGCAUGGACUGCAGAGGAAGUCGUUUGCAGACUCUCCUGACCCUUUGCAGCAACCAUGGACAGAGCUGCCUGAGUGACAACUGGUUUAGUUUCUAUUGGACUGGGGGAAAAAAAGCAUUCAAAGGAGGAUGUGACAUGGAGCUGCUUACAUCCUGUGAGAGACAAAAAAAGAGAGGGCAUGAGGAAAAAGUUCAUGAAGAAUGACAGCGAGAGGGAGGCAGUUACAAGCUCACAGAUUCAGUUGUUCAGUGGUUGGCAAGGCAUAUGCACCUUCUGGAGAACAUGGUCAAAUAUUGCCUUGUGACCUGUAAGUAUUUUGCAGUCUGUCCUCUUUUAAAUCCAUGUUGUUGGAUGUGACUUUUGCUAAAAACAACAAGGUGCAAAUGCCUUUCUCAGCAUGUCACAGCUUUUUUGACCAACCCACGCAGACAAACUGGAGACCUUGAGAACAUACGCUUCCGUUCUUUUAUACAGACUUUUUAUAAAAACAUUUUAAAAUAGAUUUUAGCUUUGCACAGCAUUAUGUACACUCACUAUUUUUAAAUGAACACAAAUUUGAUGCAUUCAUUUCUUUUUUUGUGUGUGCCCUCCAUUCAUGCUUUUGAGUCUCAUACAUGUUCAAGUCCUGCUUUAUCGUGAAAAUCAAUAUAUCUGUAGGUUUGUAAUUAAUUCAGAAUACCAAGAUUCCCAUCCCCACAGCCAAUAUGGGAAAAAAUAUACAUGAAACUGUGCCACAUGCAGAUUAAAACGUGUGCAGCAAUUGUAAUUAAAAUGUCACAAAACACA